rnacentral:lncRNA from 1 species
GAUCCUUACCAAGGCAGUGAUGGCAGAUUAAGUAUACAUACUUACAAGACAUUUAUUGCAUAGUCAAACCCUAGAUCCAAAGAAACAAGUCAAUAAGUCAAAUCAAGAUGUGCAUGUGUGGCGAAUGAAUGGUGUAUGGUGAUGAUGGUGAUAACAAUGGUGAAAGUCUAAUUCUAAUUUUGCUCUUUUGAGGGGAUAAAUACCUUUCUUGCUCUUUGAAACUUUUUAAGGAGAAUGAGAUGCUCUAUAUUUUCUUUUUUCUUUCCUCUCAAAUGGGUAUCUUGUACCCCUAAUUCUACUAUCGGACACUUGUCCAUUUUUACCUCUCGUCUCACUUUUUCUUUUCUUUCGAGGUUCCGGGCACUUGCCCCUUUUUAUUUCCUCGUAUAUAUUUUUUUAGAGCACUUAUCUCCUGAAAUAAUAUAGCAAGUGUUAGUAAGCAAGAUAACUCAAGCACUUAUUUCACAGGGGAAAAACAUAAAUAGGAGAAUGUUUUUGGCUAUUCUCUCCCGGAUUAGGAGUAGAAUAUUUUUGGGUGGUUCUGGAGAUGGAAAUGAGUGGAUAUAUGUGGAUGUGUACUUCUGGAGUAGAAGAAGCAUGUGUGAGUGAACGUGCACGUGAAUCUUGAUUUAACCACAUGACAAGCUCCUAAGGGUCUAUACAGCUUGACCACACUCAAUGCUCAUAAGCAGUAAAAAGUAAAUGUGUGGCUCAAAAUCUAGCAAGCAUGUAUAUAUGGCCGUGGUAGGAAUUUAAACUCUCAUCAUACUGAAACUCAUCAUGUGAUAUUUUAAAGAUUUUCGAAGAUAAAAUUCUCCAGAAUUCUAGCAUCUCUAGGAACAGAUAAACAGCAGCUCAUCCUUCUCAUAUCAUAUUCGUUAACAACUUAGACUUCAGAUCAAGUUCUCUUCCCACAAGUUCAGGUUUAGAGCAAGCUUUAAAUUAUAACAGUUAUGUCUAAACUAGAGAGAGAACUCAAAUUUGAAAAUUAAGCAGAGCAACUAUUCAUCAUAUCCAUGAUUAGAGUUUUAUUAAGAUUUAGUUUAGCAUAGCCACUUUAUUUAUUUAUUAAGCACACUAAGCAAAAGAUAUAUAUAUAUAAGCACAAAAUCUUUAUUUAGUUUUUCAUGGUUAUGUAUAUUUUUAUUUUAAUAUAGUAUAAGUAUAUAGAUAGAUAGAAAUACUUAGCGGGAUAAAUGGAAGUGCUCUCCCCCAAGCUGA